GUGAAUCAUCAAAUUUUUGAACGCAUACUGCACUCUCUGGUAUUCCGGAGAGUAUUCCUAUUUGAGUGUCAUUUGAAAUAAUAUAAAUUUUUCUAUAUUUUCUUGGAAUCAAAAAUUGGACGGUCUAUCAUUCGUGUUGUGGUCGCCUAAAAUGCAAGUCAAUUUCAUUUCUUGGGUUGCGUGUUACUUUCAUUUACUUCUUGACUUCAUUAGGAAUCUUUGUGCUAUUUAAGAAUUG
rnacentral:misc_RNA from 1 species